AGAUUAUUAUCUUUGUUGGUACUCUUGCUAGAUCCUAUGCUGGUACCACUUCACUGACAGGUGGAUCGUCUUGCAAAUGGUACGUGAAUCCGCAGGUUCCAGAGGCAACAAGCCUUGCAGCCAGCUUGCAGCAUAAAAGGAGCCCAAUUAUGUCUGCUGCUGGUUCGACGCAGCGUGUGCCGAGGAUUUCUACCGCUGAGCAUAAGAAAGUAUCUGAAAUCAAACACCUGCAUCCAUUCAAGCAUGAGAAAGUUGAGUGGUUGGUAACAGUUACCGUUCUUAAGAUUGAUCAACUAUGGUGGUACGAGUCCUGUAGAAAGUGCCUCAAGAAAACAAA